rnacentral:rRNA from 1 species
GUGAACGCUGGCGGCUUGCCUAAUACAUGCAAGUCGAGCGAACGGACGAGAAGCUUGCUUCUCUGAUGUUAGCGGCGGACGGGUGAGUAACACGUGGAUAACCUACCUAUAAGACUGGGAUAACUUCGGGAAACCGGAGCUAAUACCGGAUAAUAUUUUGAACCGCAUGGUUCAAAAGUGAAAGACGGUCUUGCUGUCACUUAUAGAUGGAUCCGCGCUGCAUUAGCUAGUUGGUAAGGUAACGGCUUACCAAGGCAACGAUGCAUAGCCGACCUGAGAGGGUGAUCGGCCACACUGGAACUGAGACACGGUCCAGACUCCUACGGGAGGCAGCAGUAGGGAAUCUUCCGCAAUGGGCGAAAGCCUGACGGAGCAACGCCGCGUGAGUGAUGAAGGUCUUCGGAUCGUAAAACUCUGUUAUUAGGGAAGAACAUAUGUGUAAGUAACUGUGCACAUCUUGACGGUACCUAAUCAGAAAGCCACGGCUAACUACGUG